rnacentral:rRNA from 1 species
UGGGGAAUAUUGCACAAUGGGGGAAACCCUGAUGCAGCGACGCCGCGUGAGCGAAGAAGGCCUUCGGGUCGUAAAGCUCUUUUAUGAGGGAAGAUACUGACGGUACCUCAAGAAAAAGCCCCGGCUAACUACGUGCCAGCAGCCGCGGUAAUACGUAGGGGGCUAGCGUUGUCCGGAAUCACUGGGCGUAAAGGGUUCGCAGGCGGAAUAACAAGUCAGAGGUGAAAGGCAUGGGCUCAACCCAUGUAAGCAUUUGAAACUGUAAUUCUUGAGAAGUGGGGAGGUAAGUGGAAUUCCUGGUGUAGCGGGGAGAUGCGUAGAUAUUAGGAGGAAUACCUGUGGCGAAGGUGACUUACUGGACACAAAUCUGACGCUGAGGAACGAAAGCGUGGGUAGCAAACAGG